CCACAAAUGGUAAUACCUUUAAAGA
rnacentral:tRNA from 1 species